rnacentral:pre_miRNA from 1 species
CCUGGCGGGCAGCUGUGGUGCAUUGUAGUUGCAUUGCAUGUUCUGGUGGCAUCCAUGCAAUGUUUCCACAGUGCAUCACAGAGGCCUGCCUGG